AGAGGUUUAAGGGAGACCAUCUGGGUUCUGCUCAGAGAAACCAUUGGUUUGGGAACCUGAUACUACUCCGUUUCCCCUGCCAUGGCCUGGACUCCUCUCUUCCUCGUCCUCUCUGCUUACUGCACCGGUUGGUAAUAGGGAGCAUCUGCUUUCUCUUUAUGGGGGAUAUGGGUUCUAGCUCAGCGGUACAGCACCUUCACAAGGUCUAGGGCUCAAUCCCCAGCAUCUCCUGAUAAGGCUGGAAAAGGCUUCUGCUGGUGUUCGGGAUAGACCAUGGGUAGUCAACAUGACACCUUGAACAUGUUGUUGGACUACUGCUCCUAUACUCCCUGAUCACCGUCCCUUAUGGCUGGGGCUGAUGGAAGCUGGAGUCUAAUGACAUCGGGAAAGCACCCCAUUGGCUGUCCCUGGGGUAGAUAAUACCAGGCUGGGUUUGACUGGGUUUGAGCAGGAGGCAUCUCCAUCUCCAUCUCCUCCAUCUCCAUCUCCUUUUCUCUCCUGAUCACCAACUUUUGAGAAGUGAUCUGACAAUAUUAACCACUUGGGACCAGUUUACCUGCAAGAUCUCCUUACGCUAUAUAUGCCCACUCAACCGCUCCGAUCUGUGGAACUGGCACCAUUACGGGCGCCACAUAAUACUCAUUCUGCAUUGGUAAGAAAUCAAUCGUUUUGUGUAGCAGCCCCCACACUUGGGAAUUCCCUGCCUAUUGACACCCAGGCAGAAGCCUUCCCUGUAUUCCCUGUGCUAAGAACCUUUUAGUUUAGACCGGCUUACUCAGGUAUGUAGAAUGUGGCAUGUGUUUUAACGUGCCUUUAGCUUAUCUCUGAUUCUGAUUAUUUUUUGGGGGGGAAUGUUUUAGAUAGUUUUUUUAAGGAUCAUUUUGGGGUUUUUUCCCAUUCUUCUUGUAAACCGCUUUGAGGGGUGUUUUUAACAAUCAAAUGGUGUGUGUGUGCGAAACAAUAAUUAUUAUUAAUAAUUAAUUAAUUAAUUAAUUAAUUAAAAUAGCUACCAAUAAUAAUAGCUCUGCUCUUCCACAAGUUUUUCUCUCUUUCCCCUCACCUUGAUGGAACACAAUUCUCGCCAGCAAUAGCCUCCCUCUUUGCUUUUCUUCUAGGGACCGUUUCUCAGUUCUCCCUAACUCAGGCACCUUCCAUGUCGGCAUCCCUUGGAGAAACGGCCAGCAUCUCCUGUCGGAGGAGCAGUGGAAACAUUGGCACCUACAAUGUCGCCUGGUAUGAACAGAAGCCUGGCAGUGCCCCCAAAAUCCUGAUCUACUGGUUUAGCACCAGAAGCUCUGGAACACCAGAGCGGUUCUCAGGUUCUGUCAACAAACCUUCCAACACGGCCACCUUAACCAUCUCCAAGCUGCAACCAGAAGACGAGGCUGAUUAUUACUGUUUGUCUUAUGACGGCAACGACAAGUACGCACGGCGAU